rnacentral:misc_RNA from 1 species
CGCACAUUGCGCCCACCAGUACUCUGGUGGGCAUGCCUGUCCGAGCGUCAUUUCAACCCUCAGGCCCGGCCUGGUGUUGGGGAUUGGCUUCGCAGCCAGCCCCGAAAUGCAGUGGCGGCCCUCCGCAACUCCUCUGUGUAGUAGUGAUACCCGCAUUGGAUAGUGGUUGCGCCUCGCCGUAAAACCUCCAACUCUUCAAGGUUGACCUCGGAUCAGGUAGGAAUACCCGCUGAACUUAA